CCAACCCGUGGAACAGACAAGCGCCCUGCAUAUCUCCCUUCUAGUUUCAAUAAAACCCAUCCACGGCGCAGCUUUUAGCCACAUUGCCUCCUCUUGUCCUCGACACAUCUCUCCAUGGUCCUUUCUCAGUGCCUGUUCACCCCAGUUUUCAUUUUCUCUACCGUUUUCCUUGUCGCUGGAUAUGUUAUUUUCCACCUUACCUCGUCAGUUCUGCGUUCUUGUUUCCAAUUCGGCUCCGCGAGAAACCCAAGCAGGACCGGUCGAAAUGCUUGCCUCCCUUUCUCACUCAGUUCACUCAACGAACCAAUCAAAUCCACGGGCCUCCUGAUGGAUAUCGAUCCGAGGAUUUUAUGACAUUAACGCCCGGGAAAACGUUGGAACAGAAUUGCUCUUCCGUCCUACAAGGUCAGUGGAGUCAACCGCUGCCCAUUCACCCACGUUCCCACGUUAAAGCGAUGUUUGGCCGCAAAGUAACGGUCAGGAGAGCCACGCCCACGAUUCCGGUCACAUCUUGCUACGAUUCCUUAUCAUUCUUUGGCCCAGUGAUUAUUUUAUACAGCUGGACGGAGAACUGAUAAGGGCUUGUGGAAGGUGGUUCAUCACAUAUCAGCCUUGGUGAACUGUACCCACUGAUCAUUGCCAUGAAGAACAUGUGUCAUCUAUACAUAGAUACUUACUCAGCAAGCUUCAUCACAUACCAAUCGGAUGCGGAGAUGAAUACCUACUGUCGGAUAAUACGAUUAACGCAAUAGGAUAGACGAAAUCCAAGAUUUUUUCUACUUUUGGAAGUAGGAUUAAUUACUAAAAGUACUACUUAAAAGUAGAAUAAGUACUGCUGAAUUAAUUGUAAUAAAAUUGUAAUUUUACCCCCAUGAAAAUGUAUAUAAAUGAGGAAUUUUUUAAUAAAAAUAUGUUUAAAAGAUUUGAAUGUCUAUGGAUCGGAAUGCUAUUAAUAUUUUUUUAUAGGUAAUUUAACAAUUCGGAGGCAGUCCAUGUGUUCAAGGAAAAAAAAUUGCCUAUAUUUUUAAAACUGUAAAUAUUACCUACUGAUAAGAUAAAUCUGUCUUUUUUUUGCUGUAAAUAAAUUCACAAUUUGCUUUUAACAUCUUGCCAUAUUUUUCUAUGGACAUGUUUUUUUAUUCUUGUGCCUUUCUCAGUCAUUCCAUUUCUAAAAUUAUAAAUGGCAAAGUAUCAAUUUUCAUCCUAAUUUUUGAAGUCAGUGUUCCUUUUUUCUUUUCAAAUGUUUGGUUAGGUUUUGGACCUUUCCUUCCACAGGUCAAAUGACUUGUGAAAUGAUUUGAAAAACCUUAAGUUUGUGGAAAUUACUGAUAAUAUUCAUUUUUUAUUCAGUCGGAAAAGUAAUACUUUUUCAUUAGAAUGUCAGUUGUCAUGAUAAAAAACACUCUACCAUUAUUAUUCUUUAAUUUAAAAACUUUGAGUUUUCUUCAAUAUCACCAAUGAACUUUCAUAUUGAACCAUACUAAUUAAAUAGGUAUAAAUAAUAUAAAUGUGUGAUCUGUUCAAAUUACCAAUCAGAAUAAAUAAUCAAAUUAGUAUUUUAUGAAUAUGAAAUUCGUUGUUCUUUUCUAUUUUCGAUUUUGUAUAAUUCCAUGUGUUGGAAUUACUUACGUUUUUUCUAACGGAAAAAAGAAGAGGAGAAGAAAAAUUGGAAUGUCUCAGUUUCAGAAAGAGCCUCCCAAAAUACGGGCUGAUUUUCGCCCCUUUUUGGGUAUUCGAUUCGACCAUCGGACCAAGGUUUAAAUGGAAGCUUAUAAUAACAGAAAACUCAGGAAAAAAUUUCAAGAUGAGUAUAGGAACCGUUUUCGAGUUACAGGGGGGCAAAGGGGUCAAAAUCCGGCCUUAAUUUAUGCUGUUUUCUUGUUGAAUUGAUGUGACUGCGGGGUUCUUGUCGUUGUUUGAACAUGUCAAGCACAUCGAUUCCUAUGUAUUAUUACACGCAGAAUCGAUUUAUAAUGUUGCCGAAUCGAUACACUGAUAAAUUAAAUCGAUUUUUAGCGAUUUUUUAUGGAAAAUCGAUGAUUUUUCGGGAUUGAAAUUUGUUUAUUUUCGAUUCAUGAAUGAAUAAAUGCAUCUAACAUGACUGAAGCACACCGAUUCCUACGUAUUUUGACACGUAGAAUUGAUUUCUAACGUUGACGAGUCGAUUUGUCGAUUGGUUGUAUCGAAUUUUUGCGAUUAUUUGCGGAAAAUCAAUGACUUUUCGGGAUUAAAAU
rnacentral:lncRNA from 1 species